GACGUAGGGGGCGAGCGUUGUCCGGAUUUAUUGGGCGUAAAGAGCGCGUAGGCGGCCCGUUAAGUCGGAUGUGAAAACCCGUGGCUCAACCACGGGCCUGCAUCCGAUACUGGCGGGCUCGAGGCAGGCAGGGGAGAUCGGAAUUCCUGGUGUAGCGGUGAAAUGCGCAGAUAUCAGGAGGAACACCCGUGGCGAAAGCGGCUCUCUGGGACGGUACUGACGCUGAGACGCGAAAGCGUGGGGAGCAAACAGG
rnacentral:rRNA from 1 species